AGAACCAGCUGAUGGAUCUUUACAAUGGCUGAUUCUUGGAGGAAUCAUUGGGAUCAUCGUACUCAUCUGUCUGGUCGUCUGCGUUUGCGCUCUUGCGUGUAGAAGACGUUCAAAGUCGACAAAUCCAAGUCAACCACAGCGUCAGGGUCAAAGCGGUGAAGAGCUGGCAGUUGUAGAUCCAACAAUUAAGACAGAAGAAAAAAAUGAAGACAUCCAUUAUGGAGAGAUCGACUUCUCCAAGCAAAGAUCUGAGCCAUCUUCCACGUCAGUGCAGGACAGUGGACAGCAGCAGGACACGCUGUAUGCGCAGGUCAAAGUGUCAGAGACAGCAAAUAGCUUAACACAGACUGCUGACGUCCCAGAAGAUCUCUAUGCUCAAGUGAAAUACUAAUGAGUGUAUGGAGAGGUUUUAAUAGGUGUGUGUUAUUAUUAUAAUUAUUAUUAGUAGUAGUAGUGGUAGUAGUAAAAAUAGAAAUAAUAGUAUUACGUGGAAAUAUUUUCUGUACAACUUGCAGUUUAUCACAAUAUACUAAAGGUGUUGACAUUUUGAGUGUUCGUUAGAUUUGUUUUUGUUCGAUUUUUUUAAGUUGCUGGUCAUAACACUCACCUAAUUUGCUCACAUAAUUUGCAUUUCAUUUUUUUUCAUCAUGUAUGAUUUGUGUCUGGAUUACAGCUUAACCAAAGAUAAAGUACAUGUUUGUUUCCGCUGUUUUGUUUUUUUACCUUUACUUAAUGGUUUGACAUGCUGCAAACUGCAAUUUUUUGACACAACAUUUGACACAAUGUGUGUUAACAUUACUAAAAUCAAACCAUUUAAUCUAGAGAAAUAAAAUAAAAAAGAGGAAAAGUUACUUCAUCUCAGACAAAUGUUAAUAUAUAAAGCUCAGGACAAUAGCAGCAAUUAAUACUUUAGAUAUAAAUUGCGUUAUUUCUUAUUGUAUGAAUGAGAUGAUGACAAUUGGACAGG